rnacentral:rRNA from 1 species
UAACGCGCGGGGAACCUACCCUAUACGAGGGGGAAUAACAGCUGGAAACGGCUGCUAAUACCGCAUAAGCGCACAGAAUCGCAUGAUUCAGUGUAGAAAAGCCCUGGCAGUAUAGGAUGGUCCCGCGUCUGAUUAGCUGGUUGGUGAGGUAACGGCUCACCAAGGCGACGAUCAGUAGCCGGCUUGAGAGAGUGAACGGCCACAUUGGGACUGAGACACGGCCCAA